rnacentral:lncRNA from 10 species
GCUUGAACCUGGGAGAAGGUGCUUGCAGUGAUCUGAGAUUGCGCCAUUGCAUUCCAGCCUGGGUGACAAGAGCUAAACUCCAUCUCAAAACAAAACAAAACAAAAAUCUAAAUGUAAUUGAGUUGAAUAUUUAAACUUUUAAUUGACAUUUCAAAUUAGAUUCUAAUUCCAUUUAAAAGAGCAUCUCGUAGAAGCAAAUGUACUCAUUUAUGUUAAAUCUGUGGUUUCAUUUAAGCAAUUUGUUUUGUGAAGGGACACAAAUCCAACCAGAUUUUAACAGUGUAUAAAUAUGUAUUUAUUAAUUUAAUUACAAUGACAAUACUCUCAACUCCCCAUUUGAAUAAAGGAGAGCAUUUGAUCUGUGUUCUGGGACAGCGUGCACUGUAGGUGUGUGGAAAUACCGAUGCCCUCAGCUGUGUGGCAGGCUCAGUGGGACCUGAAGUGCAGGAGCCCCUGGGCCAUUCACCUCUGGCCACAAAAGUCAUUGCCCAUUUACCCCCAACUGCUAUAGAAAUAUUAUUUUCAGUGGUUGUUAUGAUGCUAAAGAAGCAGGGAGAUUUAUUAAACCUUUACAUAUAAGUUAUGUUAGUAAAUAAAGUCUACUUUCUUCUGGCUUAACUAAAAAUCUAUACUAGUAUUUAUGCAUUUUGGAAAAUAAAGAUGCCAAUUUAAAUAUUAUGAAGCAAAGCAACUGAGUAUUAGGUAAGACAGCCAAGUACAACUGCAGAAUUAUAGAGGUUAUGUGUUACAUGUAUAAGAAUAUUUCAUAGCAAUAAUCUUUUGAGACUAUGUGAAGACACUCCACAGUGAAGCAGAAAUUAGAACAGAAUUAAUAAUACUGUGUAUGCUCUCAGUUCACCAAUUUAUCAAAACUAACUUUAUAAUUCAGGAGGCUGUCUGCUCUUUUGCAAUUGGAAGAAAAGAAAUAAUAUUUUAUUUUUCAACUCUUUAGAUUUUCUUCAUUAAGAGUAUUUCCAAAGCUAAGUAAGGGAGUUGCAAGUAGCACCAAGAGAAAAAAGCAGUCUUGAGCAGCUUUUAAAAAAUGGUCUUAAAAUAUGGAAAAUGGAGCCAGGUGUGGUGGCUCACUCCUGUGAUCCCAGCACUUUGGGAGCUUGAGGUGGGAGGAUUGCUUGAGCUCAAAAGUUUGAGACCAGCCUGGGCAGCAUAGCAAGAUCCCCAUCAUUACAAAAAAUAAUAAUUUUUUUUUAAAUUAGCUGGAUGAGGUGGUGCAUGCCUUAGAGUCCCAGUUACUUGGGAGGCUGAGGUAGGAGGAGUUCUUGAGCCCAGGAGUUCAAGUCUGCAGUGAGCUACAAUUGCAUCAGUCCUCAAGCCUGGGCAACAAAGUGAGACCCUGUCUCUCUCUACAAAUAAAUAAAUAAAUAGUGGUCUUCACUGAUAAACUGACUAAUGAAACAGAAUAGAGAAUUCCCAAACAAAUCUCCACAAAUUUAAUCUUUGAUAUGUGAUGUAGGUGACAUGGCAGAUCAACAAGGAAAGAAAGGACAUUUCAAUAAAUAGAAUAGAAAAAUAAUGGUUAUUGAUAUAGGAAACAAAAUGAAAUUAUAUUCCUGCUUCACUCUAUAUACAAACAUUAAAUUCCAGAGGACCAAAGACUUACAUGUCAGAAACAAAACUUUAAAACUUUUAGUAGAAAAUGUAAGUGAAUGAGACACAAAAAGCCAUUUAACCAUUAAAAAAGAUUAGACAUUUUGACUAUCACAAAAUUAAGAACUUUUUACAUCAAAAAGUGGAAAGAUAGGCUGGGCACAGUGUCUCAAGCCUGUAAUCCCAAUAGUACAUCACCUGAGGUCAGGAGUUUGAGACCAGGCUGGCCAACAUGGUGAAACCCCAUCUCUACUAAAAAUACAAGAAAUUAGCUUGACAUUAGUGGCAGACACUUGUAAUCCCAGCUACUUGGGAAGCUGAGGCACGAGAAUCAUCUGAACCCAGGAGGUGGAGGUUGCAGUGAGCCACGGCACUCCAGCCUGAAUAACAGAGCUAGACUCUGUCUCAAAAAAAAAAAAAAUAGAAAUUAAAAAAUAAAAGUAACAAAGUGAAAAGAUAAACUGUAAAUUAGAAGAUAUUUGCAGUACCUAAAACCUAUGAAAGAUUACAACCAGAUCAACUAAGUAUAAGGAGCUCCUAUGAAUUAAUUUUAAAAAUAGCAACCCAACAGAAAAUUGGGAAAAGACAUCAAUAGGGAUUUCACAAAAGAGAAAGCCCGCAAAAUGUAAAAAAAUUUCUCAACCUCAUUAGUAAUCAGGAAAAUGCACAAGAUACUACACAUCUAUUCUCCCCACAAUUAUUAAGAAGUUUGACAAUACCAAAUGUAUUAGUCCACAUUCAUACUGCUGAUAAAGACAUACCUGAGACAGGGAAGAAAAAGAGGCUUAAUUGGAUUUAGGUUUUCACAUGGUUGAGGAGGCCUCAGAGUUAUGGCUGUCAGUGAACAGCACUUCUUACAUGGCAGUGGCAAGAGAAUAUGAGAAGGAGGCAAAAGAAGCAAAAGACGAAACCCCUAAUAAUCCCAUCAGAUCUUGUGAGAUUUAUCCACUAUCACAAGAAUAGCAUUGGAAAGACCAGCCCCAAAGAUUCAACUACCUCCCCCUGGUUCCCUCCCCGAACAAGUGGGAAUUCUGAGCAAUACAAUUCAAGUUGAGAUGUGGGUAGGGACAUAGUCAAACCAUAUUUUUCCACUCCUGGCCCCUCCAAAUCUCAUGUCCUCUCCAAACCUCAUGUCCUCACAUUUCAAAACCUAUUAUGCCUUCCCAACAGUCCCCCAAAGUCUUAACUCAUUUCAGCAUUAACCCAAAUGUCCACUGUCCAAAGUCUCAUCUGAGACAAGGCAAGUCUCUUCUGCCUAUGACCCUGUAAAAUCCAAAUCAAGCUAGUUACUUCCUAGAUACAGUGGGGGUACAGGUAAUUGAGUAAAUGCAGCUGUUCCAAAUGGGAGAAAUUGGCCAAAACAAAGGGGUUACAGGCCCCAUGCAAGUCUGAAAUCCAGCAAGGUAGUCAAAUUUUAAAGCUCCAAAAUGAUCUCCGUUGACUCCAUGUUUCACAUCAAGAUCAUGCUGAUGCAAGAGGUGGGCUCCCACCACCUUGGGUAGUUCUGCCUCUGUGGCUUUGCAGGGUAUAGCCCACCUCCUGGCUGUUUUCAUGGGCUGAUGUUGAGUGACUGCAGCUUUUCCAGGCUCACAGUGCAAGCCAUCAGUGAAUCUACCAUUCUGGGGCCUGGAGGAGAGUGGCCCUCUCCUCACAGCUCCACUAGGAAGUGCCCCAGUAGGGACUCUGUGCAGGGGCUCCAACCCCACAUUUCCCUUCUGCACAGCCCUAGCAGAGGUUCUCCAUCAGAGCCCCACCCCUGCAGCAAACUUCUGCUUGGACAUCCAGGUAUUUUCAUACAUCCUCUGAAAUCUAGGUGGGGGUUUCCAAACCUCAAUUCCUGACUUCUAUGCAUGUGCAGGCUCAACACCACGUGGAAGCUGCUAAGGUUUGGUGCUUGCACUCUCAAGGCCAUGGCCUGAGUUCUAUAUUGGCCCCUUUCAGCCAUGGCUGGAGGGGCUGAAACACAGAGAACCAAGGCCCUAGGCUACACACAGCACAGUCAACCUGGGCCCAGCCCAGAAAGCCAUUUUUUCCUCCUAGGCCUCUGGGCGUGUGAUGGGAGGGGCUGCUGUGAUGACCUGUGACAUGUCCUGUAGAAAUUUUCCCCAUUGUUUUGGGGAUUAACAUUCAGCUUCUCGUUACUUACGCAAAUUUCUGCAGACUGCUUGAAUUUAUCCUCAGAAAAUGGGAUUUUCUUUUCUAUCACAUUGUCAGGCUGCAAAUUUUCCAAACUUGUAUGCUCUGCUUCCUUUACAAAACUGAAGGCAUUUAGCAUCACCCAAGUCACCUCUUGAAUGCUUUACUGCUUAGAAUUUUCUUCCAGCAGAUAACCUAAAUCAUCUCUCUCAAGUUCAAAGUUCCACAAAUCUCUAGGGCAGGGGCAAAAUGCUGCCAUUCUCUUUGCUAAAACAUAAUGAGAGCCACCUUUGCCCCAGUUCCCAACAAGUUCCUCAUCUCCAUCUGAGACCACCUCAGCCUGGACCUUAUUGUUCAAAACACUAUCAGCAUUUUUGUCAAAGCCAUUCAACAAGUCUCUAGGAAGUUCCAAAAUUUCCCACCUUUUCCAGUGUUUUUCUGAGCCCUCCAAACUGUUCCAACUUCUGCCUGUUACCAAGUUUCAAAGUCACUUCUACAUUUUUGGGUAUCUUUUCAGCAGCACCCCACACCACUGGUAUCCAUUUACUGUAUUAGUCCAUUUUCACACUGCUGAUAAAGACAUACCCAAGUCUGAGAAGAAAAAGAGAUGUAAAGAAAAAGAACUGCAACUGGAUUUGCAGUCCCACAUGGUGGGGGAGGCCUCAGAGUCAUGGCAGGAGGUGAAAGGCACUUCUUAAAUGGCAGCAGCAAGAGAAAAUGAGGAGGAAGCCAAAGCAGAAACCCCUGAUAAACCCAUCAGAUCUCAUGAGACUUAUUCACUGUCACGAGAAUAGCACAGGAAAGACUGGCCUCCAUCAUUCAAUUACCUCACCCUGGGUCCCUCCCACAACAUGUGGGUAUUCUGGGAGAUAGAAUUCAAGCUGGGAUUUGGGUGUGGACACAGCCAAACCAUAUCACCAAAUAGGGAGAGACUGUGGAUCAACAAGAUCAUCUCAAACUAAUACAGGACGUGAGUGUUUAAAUGAGAACAACCACUUUAGAAAACAAUUUGGAUUAUCUUAUAAAGUUGAGCAUUCUCAUAUGUUACGGCAAAGUAAUUUCUCUACUAUAGGCCCUGGAGAAACUCUUGCCCAUAUGUACCAGAAGUAUUAAAAAAAAUGCUCAUGUAAUGCCAUUCAUAAUAGCAAAUAUAUGGAAACAAGCCAGAUGUUCAUUGAUAGGAGAAUGGGUAAAUUAAUAGGAGAAUGGGUAAAUAAAUUAUACCCUUAAAAAACUAAAUAAUAUGCCAUUUAGGGCAAUCAUAUAUAUGCAAUAAAACAAUGUUUUUUUAAAGGCAGGGAAUCCUAAACAUAAAUUCAGGGUAGUAGUUACCCUGGGGCUGAAGGGUGUAAAUCAGGAAAAAGGACAGAGGAGGAGCAGAUGUUAGGUCAGAACCCUAGUUCUUGGGUUGUGUUGUGGGUUCACAAGUGAUUACCACAUUAUUCAAAUACAUUUACAUAGAGGCCCAGGCACAGACAAGGGUGAAACAGGAGCCAAGGUAUGCUAUGAGCCAAGGAAUAUGAUUAAUCAAAUUUUGUGCACUUUAAACCAUUUGAAAAACAGAAAAGCAAAACAAGAAGAUAAAUUUUAACAAAUUGAAUAUAGAGUGCUAUGUUCUGAAUGUGUCCCCCUAAAAUUAAUCACAGUGUUAUAGGAUUAGGAAGUAGGGCCCUUAGGUAGUGAUUCAGUCAUGAAGGGAGAAUCUUCACGAAUGGGUUUAGGGUCCUUACACAAGGACUGGAGGGAGUGGGCUUCCCCUGUUUUGCCCUUCUGCCUUCUGCCAUGUGAGGGCACAGUGCAUCUCCUCCUGAGGACAGAGUGCACAAGGUACCAUCUUGGAUGCAGAGGUCAGGCCCUGACCAGACACCAAUCCUGCUGGCACCUGGAUCUUGGACUUCCAGCCUAUGGAACUGUGAGAAAUACAUUUCUCUUCUUCAGAAAUUACCCAGCCUAGUGUAUUUUCUUAUAUAGUAGCACAAACUCAUUAAGGCAUAAUGCUUCUUGUCAUUUUCUUCUACAAUUUUCUUUGUUGCCUCUUUAGCAGUGGGUCAUUUUAUAUUUGAUCCUUCAUAAUAUCUCUUACUUUUGGUUUUUCACAUUUCUGUUCCAAGUGUAUUCUUAGAUACAUAUUUUUCACUGUUUGUUAUUAUCCAGGUCAGAAAGUCCAGGAUACAUUUUUUUAAGGGUUUGGUUUCUGCAACAAUGAAGUAUUAAUGCCUUCUGUAAACUAGGUAUUUCCUUUCCAAUUGUAACUGCCAUCUGGAAGCAAAGUGGAAUUACAGGCUAUGAGUGUGGGGUUGAUAUUUAGUGUAUCUAGAGUAUGGUUAAAUGCUGGUUUUUAAUCACACGGAUACAUCGAUUGCUUGGCACACUAGGGUAUCAGUUGCUAGUUAUCUCUGUAUUUAUCCAUGCUGUUACAGAGGGAAAGUACAGACCGUGAGGUUGGACCAGCUGUCAUACCCAUAUUUGGGGAGCUUUGAUUUUUUUAACCUUCAGCUGCUUUACUGUCACACGUAGCAGCUCAGGUGAAAAGCACUUUUAUUGUGGGGACUUUCCCUUAGUGCUCUGUGGGGCACAAGAGCAGACCUAUGUAGAAGCAUUAAGUAUUUUGUGCAUCAACAGGACAAUUAAAGGAACAAAUUCUUAUUGUAUCUUUUAGUCCCUGAAGACAAAACCACAGUGACAGUAACUAGGUCAAGGCAUUGUAUUCAGAGAGGGUCAGCCUUGGUCUUUGAGAGUGAGUCCCCUUUACCCCACUGUCAAGACUCACUGAGCAGACGGGAACGUUCAGGUGGAACAUGCAGUGAAUAGCAAACACGGUGGGGGGCGCUCACUGUCAUGCACUGCCAUGCCUGCCAUGGUCAGCAGACCUCUUCUACUUGACAACAGGCAGGUUGAGAAACAUUUUCUUGGAGAGUUUCUUGAUUCUUGCCAGUUGUGGCAGGAUGGAUUGACUUAGAGGAGCUCAGGAAGGUUGUUAAACAACACAGAAACACAAGAUGAAUUGUACUCCUCAGCAGGCCUAGGUUAGAGCAGCAGGUGCUUGAAGCCUCAGCCACUCGUGGGACACAACAUAAUGCCCCUAAUGAUUUGAAAUUUGGUGGAGAGUGGGUCACUAAUCCCUGUGUCCAGGGACAAAAAGAGACAUCAACAGCAAAAAGUUAUAAAAUAAGUGGGACUAACAUCUGCUUCUUGUGGGAGGUAGGAAUUUAAGAUAUAAGAAUUUAGCUGCAGGAGCGAGCUCACACCUGUAAUCUCAGCACUUGGGGAGGCCAGCGCAGGAGGACAGUUUGAGCCCAGGUGUUUGACAUGAGCCAGGCAACGUAGUAAGUCCCCAUUCGUACAAAAAUGUUUUUGGAGAAAAGUAGUUGAGUGUGGGGGCACAUGCCUGUAGUCCCAGGUACGUGGGAGGCUGAGGCAAGAAAAUUGCUUCAGCCUGGGAGAUUGAGGCUGCAGUGAGCUCUGAUCACCACAAUGCACGCCAGCCUGUGAGUCCGGAGACCCGAGCUGGCGCCUUGAAGCGGGGUCCCCUGCACCGGUAGAAGUCGGCUCAAGGAGGUUCUGAGAACAGGACUCCCGGGGGUCCGGCCCUGGAGGACCCGAAGCCCCCAGUCCCAUAAACGCCCCCUACUACAUCCCCACUCCAGCCGCCACUGCGACUGCCACAGAACCCCCGCCACGUGUCGCCGAACCUGUUUAAAGGGGCCACAGCCGGAGUUUGAAGAGCAAAGCAGGAGUCGGCCUGGGCAAUGCGCAUGCGGGAGGCACGAGCCCAUUCUCCCGUGACGGUGACUCCAACGGUUGGCUGAGGACGAUUCCCUGAGCCUUGACAAAGCAGGAGCCCUCCGUGGCAGUGCGUCGGGGUCGAGGCUCCAGCCUGACCAAUCCAGGGGGUCGACAAAACAGAUUCGGGACACCAUGCUACACGCAGGGCCUACCAGGAUGCAGAAACAGCAGACGGAGUCCGGGGAAAGCAGUGCGGCAUCCCAGCCUCAGGCCUGCCCGUACGGUGUUCGGGAGGGGAGGAGACCAAUGUGAAAGGAGAUGGUUAUAUCUCCUCGCGGCUCUUCUCUGAGAAAUGAAGCCAGGAUACGAAACAAUCUUCAAGAAGAAGCUGAAAACCGGAUAUGACAAGGAUGUCCCCAGAACACAGCAGGCAUCCUGAAGCUCUGCCUCCUGAAGCUCCCCCUCCCUCGGUGGAAGUCGGCUCAGGGAGGUCCUGAGGACAGGACUCCUGGGGGUUUGGCUGCAGAAUGAAUUAAUUCACUAGGACUUUAUAUAAUUUUUCAAAUCAUGAAAUUGCACAAUCUUUUGAAUAUGGAAUUGGGAGGCCUUUCAGUUCAUUCAGUAGAAAACUGGAACAUUUUUGAAGGGUGAUCUGCUCGACACCUUUCAAAGAGUACAAAACCUUGUGAAGUAGCAGAUGCAAUGAUUACCAAUGUACCUUAUAAAAUGACUUUCAGAGUUUGAGAUUAAAUUGGCUUUUCUGAAAUAUGUAAGUCUCUGGAAAAACUCAACAUUUCUAAUCUUGCUUUGGAAAGCCUUUAAGUAUGUAAAAAUCAAUUUCUUAUAUCUUCUCUGAAAUAAACAUGGAAUAUCCUAAGGUUUUAUUCAUGUUUCAUGAAUUUCACAGCAUUCAUCAUAUUUUCAAGUUAUUUUUGAUGCUUUGCAUUGUAUUAAAAUCUCUCUUGGAAUGAGAGGCCUGAAAAACAAUCAUAAUAUACUGUUGUUGUCUAACAAUAUAUCAAGUUUUUAAUGACUCUUACAAUGCAAUAUUUUUAUCAUUCUUGUAGUUUAUCCACAUGUAUUUAAUAUUACUAGCAGAAAUUUAGAUUUUAGUAAAUUAAUUCUGAUCUUUGUAAAAUAAAAUGCUUUAGUUUUCAAUCUAUAUCUAUUAAUUCUUUAGUCUAUGAAUCCAUCUAACAAUUAUUAUUGAACAAGUUCUAGGAGAUAAGUACUAUACAGUUGCUAAGAAUUCUGAAAGAUCAUCUUAUACCUAUUAUACAGAAGCAGAGCGAGACAAAUGAACCAAAACUUACAUAACACUGUGACAUGCGUUUCAAGUUUAAACAUCUUAAAAAAUACAUUUCAUAAAACUAAAAUAAAACUUGAUACUUGUUUCUACUACAUUUGGUUUUAUAUACUUAGGCAUAUUAUUUUUGAGUCUGGUAUUAAAUAAGCCAACAUCUGUU